GCCCGCCUGAACUCUGCGGCGAGCCAGUCCUGCUGCUGGGAGUCGGCGCAGAGCCGAGGCAGUGGGUGGGUGGCUCUCGCCAGACGGAAAAACGCACUGAACCUCGCGGUGAACGGCGCAGAGACACGGGGCGCAGCUGCCCUGAGAAGAUGGCUGGAGCUAUGUAGGUGAAAAGAUAGUCCCCAAAUCCUUACCUUCUUGGAAUGCAUGUGCUAGCAGGAUCAACAGCACGCAGCACCAGGCGACCGAUGCGUCCAAACCUGUCCAGGGACAAGUGUUAUGGGAUUAUCUUCAGAAUCCUUGGCAAGCAGGCAGAGGAGGGGACAAGAGAGAAGGGGGUAGCAGAAGGCUCCUCAAGGGGCUGAGUGGGACUCCUCAGUCUGGGGGAAGAAGAGUGAACAGAGUAAAAGCACUGAUGGUGAAAAAUGUGGAGGUACCCCAUUCUGCUAGUAAUCAGAGGAAAGCCUGGGCCCUAAGGCUUCAGGAAGGGAUCAGGGGCCAGGGCUGACUCACCCAUUGAUGCC